rnacentral:tRNA from 1 species
UAGAAUUUUAAGUUAUUUAAACUAAAAGCCUUCAAAGCUUUCUAAAAAAGUAUUAACCUUUUAAAUUCUAU